GCACUGCCACUGGAUGGCUGAUUGACGCUGCUGAACAAAUGUUGUUGAAUAAAGACCCCAAAGUAAACACCAUGCUGACGCAGUUCGCUGACAAGGCUAUGAGCCAGCUUACAACGGCUCUGAAAGAAGCCUUACAUGAGGGUUUGCGUGGACUGAAUGAGGUGAUCAGAACGACGGUGACAGGGGCGGUCGACGAUGUGAAAGAUGCCGCUGUCAAGCUUCUUGAAUCGACGGUGAAUGAAUUUGUGAAGAAUCUAACGCCAAAGCUACCCGCUCUGCCCCCUCUGCCAAAGCCACCCACUCUACCCCCUCUGCCAAAGCUACCCACUCUACCCCCUCUGCCAAAGCUACCCACUCUACCCCCUCUGCCAAAGCCACCCACUCUACCCCCUUUGCCAAAGCUACCCACUUUACCCCCUCUCUGGUGAGACGUUUUUUAUGAUAAGAAACAGAUGUCAGGAAACAAAAAAUAAGAUCCUCAUGUCUUACCUGAAGCUUUGGACGACUUCAAUACAUUUAGAUGUGGACAAAAAGAUGAAAUCUUUUUCUUUUUAAAUAAAUAAUCAGAAAUCAU